GAUGAACGCUGGCGGCGUGCCUAAUACAUGCAAGUCGAGCGAAUUGACAGAGGUGCUUGCACCUCUCGAUUUUAGCGGCGGACGGGUGAGUAACACGUGGGUAACCUACCUAUAAGACUGGGAUAACUUCGGGAAACCGGAGCUAAUACCGGAUAAUAUUUAGCUUCGCAUGAAGCAAUAGUGAAAGACGGUUCUGCUGUCACUUAUAGAUGGACCUGCGGUGUAUUAGCUAGUUGGUGAGGUAACGGCUAACCAAGGCAACGAUACAUAGCCGACCUGAGAGGGUGAUCGGCCACACUGGGACUGAGACACGGCCCAGACUCCUACGGGAGGCAGCAGUAGGGAAUCGUCCGCAAUGGAAGAAAGUCUGACGGAGCAACGCCGCGUGAGUGAAGAAGGUUUUCGGAUCGUAAAACUCUGUUGUAAGGGAAGAACAAGUACGUUAGUAACUGAACGUACCUUGACGGUACCUUACCAGAAAGCCACGGCUAACUACGUGCCAGCAGCCGCCGCAGUAA
rnacentral:rRNA from 1 species